GGCGAACGGGUGAGUAACUCGUGGGCAACCUGCCCCAGACUCUGGGAUAACUCCUCGAAAGAGGUGCUAAUACCGGAUACGAGCCCUGCAGGCAUCUGCGGGGUUGGAAAGUUUUUUCGGUCUGGGAUGGGCCCGCGGCCUAUCAGCUAGUUGGUGACGUAGUGGCUCACCAAGGGCGACGACGGGUAGCACGGCCUGAGAGCGCGACCGGCCACACUGGGAUGAGACACGGCCCAGACUCCUACGGGAGGAAGCAGUGGGGAAUAUUGCGAAAUGGGCGAAAGCCUGACGCAGCAACGCCGCGUGCGGGAUGACGGCCUUCGGGUUGUAAACCGCUUUCAGCUGGGAAGAAGCGAAAGUGACGGUACCUGCAGAAGAAGCACCGGCUAACUACGUGCCAGCGCCGCGGUAAUACGUAGGGUGCAAGCGUUGUCCGGAUUUAUUGGGCGUAAAAAGCUCGUAGGCGGUUAGUCACGUCGGAUGUGAAAACCCAGUGCUUAACACUGGGCCUGCAUUCGAUACGGGCUGACCAGAGUGUUGUAAGGGGAGACUGGAACUCCUGGUGUAAGCGGUGAAAUGCGCAAAUAUCAGGGAACAACACCGGUGGGCGAAAGGCGGGUCACCCC
rnacentral:rRNA from 1 species